rnacentral:rRNA from 1 species
GAUCCAGACUCCUACGGGAGGCAGCAGUGGGGGAUAUUGCACAAUGGAGGAAACUCUGAUGCAGCGACGCCGCGUGAGGGAGGACGGUCUUCGGAUUGUAAACCUCUGUCUUUGGGGAAGAAAAUGACGGUACCCAAAGAGGAAGCUCCGGCUAACUACGUGCCAGCAGCCGCGGUAAUACGGAGGAUCCGAGCGUUAUCCGGAUUUAUUGGGUUUAAAGGGAGCGUAGGCGGCCUGCCAAGUCUGAUGUGAAAUACCGGGGCUCAACCCCGGGGCUGCAUUGGAAACUGGCAGGCUGGAGUGUCGGAGAGGCAGGCGGAAUUCCUAGUGUAGCGGUGAAAUGCGUAGAUAUUAGGAGGAACACCAGUGGCGAAGGCGGCCUGCUGGACGAUGACUGACGCUGAGGCUCGAAAGCGUGGGGAGCAAACAGGAUUAGAUACUGGUA